CCUACGGGAGGCAGCAGUGGGGAAUAUUGCACAAUGGGGGAAACCCUGAUGCAGCGACGCCGCGUGAGUGAAGAAGGAAUUCGGUAUGUAAAGCUCUAUCAGCAGGGAAGAAAAUGACGGUACCUGAGUAAGAAGCCGCGGGUAACUACGUCCCAGCAACUGCGGUAAUACGUAGGGGGCCAGCGUUAUCCGGAUUUACUGGGUGUAAAGGGAGCGUAGACGGCAGUGCAAGUCUGGAGUGAAAGGCGGGGGGUCCACCCCCGGACUGCUGUGGAAACUGUUCGGCUGGAGUGCAGGAGAGGUAAGUGGAAUGCGUGGUGUAGCGGUGAAAUGCGUAGAUAUUAGGAGGAACACCAGUGGCGAAGGCGGAUUACUGGCCUGUAACUGACGCUGAGGCUCGAAAGCGUGGGGAGCAAACAGGAUUAGAUACCCGAGUAGUC
rnacentral:rRNA from 1 species